rnacentral:lncRNA from 1 species
CUCCUUGUCGUCUCCCUCAACGUCCAUCGCAGCCGCACCGUCCGACACCUCCUCGGCGGCAGCCUCCUCCUCCGCCGCCGCAGCCGCCGGUGUCGGCGCCACCCACGGCACGACGGCGAGGGCGAGGUCGCGGGGCUCGGAGCCCCGUUCCAGGGCGGCGCCAGCGAGCAGCUCCCGCACCGUCCUGCUGUCCGCCUCCCGGAGCAUGGCGCGGAUCCAGUCCGCGCGGAGGCGCGGGGCGUCGAUCCGCCUGCUGCUGCUGCUGCUGGCGUCUCCAUCACCGUACACCACCACUGCCCUCUCGUCGUGGCCAGGCGAAGGAGACGGUGCGGCCGCCGCGUCGCCCAUCGCAACGUCAUCCUCCGACGCCGUCGUCACGGCGCCGCCCAUGUCCCCGUCGACACGAGGGCCGUCUGGACACGCGAACGCGAGG